UAAAGUGAAUUAAGAUGCUUACAAAUUACAACCUCCUCCUCAACAGGUAUUACCAAAUUUCUGUAAGUUAUAUACAGCCAACACAUAUGAACACACCUUAUCAUACUAUGUAUAUCAACAUGUAAUUAACUAGUUUUGUCUGUGUAACAUAGGAAUCAGGAAACACAUACAUGAUACAUCUGUGUGCUUGCUACUCUUGUUUCCUUUCCACUUCUAGGGAAAUCUCAUUACGCCGUGUAAAUGGAAGUGUAAAUGGUGGGUUAUACUGAAUAUAAUACAUAAACACUUCUUAUUAAUUAUUUAUGCUUGAAUUUAUUUUUUAUUCUUUUAAGAUCAUUUAUAUAAUUUAAUUACCUGUGCAACCUCCACAGAUGCUCCACUUUUUACUUUGUAUUGACUAUCAUUCUUUAGGCUGUUCCUGAGUGCUGAUUCCCGGCGUAUAACAUCUUCAUCACUCACAAACCCUGAAUUGAGAUUUCAGAAUGCCAUAUUUUUCAUAAAUGUACAUUUUCUUUUAAUCAAAAUAGGCUAAUUUCGUCUUUCUUUUAGAAUAUAAUCAAUGAAAGGAAUCACUCACCUGAAAAGGCAACAACAGCCAC
rnacentral:lncRNA from 1 species